rnacentral:pre_miRNA from 1 species
GAGACACCCCUAUAGAGCAGCACUUGCUUCAGUGGGUCUUUGGUGCACACUGAGUCUGCCCCUUGAGUGUGUCACU